rnacentral:rRNA from 1 species
AGUUCGAUUAUGGCUCAGAUUGAACGCUGGCAGGAUGCUUUACACAUGCAAGUCGAACAGCAGCACGGACUUCGGUCUGGUGGCGAGUGGCGAACGGGUGAGUAAUGUAUCGGGAAUUGCCUAAAUGGCAACAGGGGAUAACUACACUGAAAGCGUAGCUAAUACCGCAUACGCCCUUCGGGGAAGCGGGGGUUAUUCGGGCCUCGCACUAUGAAACGGCCGAUAUCGGAUUAGCUAGUUGGUGGGGGUAACGGCUCACCAAGGCGACGAUCCGUAGCUGGUUUGAGAGGACGACCAGCUACACUGGGGACUGAGACACGGCCCAGACUCCUACGGGAGGCAGCAACAGUGGGGGUACGGGACAAUGGAAACCCUGGUCCGGCCUGCAUCCCGUGUGCGAUGAAGGCCUUCGGGUUGCUAAAGGCACUUUGGCAGGAAAGAAACGGCGCAGGAUAUUACCCCGUGCAACUGACAGUACCUGCAGAAUAAGCACCGGCUAAUACGUGCCGCGUAGCCCGCGGUAAUACGGCGGGUGCAAGCGUUAAUCGGAAUUACUGGGCUAAAGCGUGCGCAGGCGGUUCGGAAGAAAGAUGUGAAAUCCCAGGCUUAACUUUGGAACUGCAUUUUUAACUACCGAGCUAGAGUGUGCUCGAAAUUCCGCGUGUAGCAGUGAAAUGCGUAGAUAUGCGGAGGAACACCGAUGGCGAAGGCAGCCUCCUGGGAUAACACUGACGCUCAUGCACGAAAGCGUGGGAGCAAACGGAUUAGAUGCCCUGGUAGUCCACGCCCUAAACGAUGUCAACUAGCUGUUUAGGCCUUCGGGCCGUGGCGCAGCUAACGCGUGAAGUUGACCGCCUGGGAAGUACGGUCGCAGAUUAAAACUCAAAAGGAAUUGACGGGGACCCGCACAAGCCCGGUGGAUGAUGUGGAUUAAUUCGAUGCAACACUUGAAAAACCUUACCUACCCUUGACAUGUCUGGAAUCGAAGAGAUUUGAGUGCCCGCGAACCAGACUUUAGGGUGCCAUGGCUGUCGUCAGCUCGUGUCGUGAGAUGUUGGGUAGUCCGCAACAGGCACCAGCCCUUGUCAUUAGUUGCUACGAAAGGGCACUCUAAUGAGACUGCCAGUGACAAGCCGGAGGAAGGUGGGGAUGACGUCAAGUCCUCAUGGCCCUUAUGGGUAGAAGAAUCUGCGUCAUACAAUGGUCGGGACAGAGGGUCGCCAACCACGGGGAGCCAAUCCCAGAGGCGAUCGAAGUCCGGAUCCGCAAUGAUCUGCAACUCGACUGCGUGAAGUCGGAAUCGCUGGUAAUCGCGGAUCAGCAUGUCGCGGUGAAUACGUUCCCGGAGUCUUGUACACGCCCGUCACACCAUGGGAGUGGGUUUACCGAUGAUUAGCUAACCAAUAAGGAAGGCGAUUACCACGAUAAGGAUUCAUGACUAGGGUGAAGUCGUAACAAGGUAG